CCUACGGGAGGCUGCAGUCGAGAAUCUUCGGCAAUGGGGGAAACCCUGACCGAGCGACGCCGCGUGCGGGAUGAAGGCCCUUGGGUUGUAAACCGCUGUCGUAAGGGAACAAAUCCAUGGGGGUACUCCCCUGUGGUUGAGUGAUCUUAGGAGGAAGGACGGGCUAAGUUCGUGCCAGCAGCCGCGGUAAGACGAACCGUCCGAACGUUAGGCGGUAUCACUGGGCUUAAAGGCCCGGUAGGCGGCCCGUGAAAUCCCUCGGCUCAACCGAGGAACUGCGCUUGAAGCCGUCAGGCUUGAGGGAGAUAGAGGUGAGCGGAACAGAUGGUGGAGCGGUGAAAUGCGUUGAUAUCAUCUGGAACACCGGUGGCGAAAGCGGCUCACUGGAUCUUUUCUGACGCUGAGGAACGAAAGCUAGGGUAGCGAACGGGAUUAGAUACCCCUGUAGUC
rnacentral:rRNA from 1 species